AUCUCUUUACUCUCUCCGAUGGAAACUACGGCUCAACGUUCUUUACAGCCACAGGCUUUCACGGACUUCACGCUAUCAUUGGAUCAACAUUUCUCACUAUCUGCCUUCUCCGCCAAUUAAAAUUCCACUUUACAUCCAGCCACCACUUUGGCUUUGAAGCUGCCGUCUGAUUUGACACUUCGUAGAUGUAGUAUGACUAUUCUUACACGUCUCUGUCUACUGAUGAGGAUCC
rnacentral:lncRNA from 1 species